UACAGAGGGUGCAAGCGUUGUUCGGAAUUAUUGGGCGUAAAGGGCGCGUAGGCGGGCGCGACAAGUCACCUGUGAAAUCUCCGAGCUUAACUCGGAGCCUGCAGGCGAAACUGUCGUGCUGGAGUAUGGGAGAGGUGCGUGGAAUUCCCGGUGUAGCGGUGAAAUGCGCAGAUAUCGGGAAGAACACCCGUGGCGAAGGCGGCUCUCUGGAACGCAACUGACGCUGAGACGCGAAAGCGUGGGGAGCAAACAGG
rnacentral:rRNA from 1 species